rnacentral:rRNA from 1 species
GAUGAACGCUGGCGGCAUGCCUAAUACAUGCAAGUCGAACGAGCUCUUCGGAGCUAGUGGCGGACGGGUGAGUAACACGUUGGUACCUACCCCGAAGUGGGGAAUAACUGCCCGAAAGGGUGGCUAAUACCGCAUAAUACCGUAAGGUUAAAGCAGUAAUGCGCUUCGGGAGGGGCCUGCGUCCCAUUAGCUAGUUGGCGGGGUAAAUGCCCACCAAGGCGACGAUGGGUAGCUGGAUCGAGAGGUUGACCAGCCACACUGGGACUGAGAUACGGCCCAGACUCCUACGGGAGGCAGCAGUGAGGAAUAUUGGGCAAUGGGCGGAAGCCUGACCCAGCAACGCCGCGUGGAGGAUUGAAGGCCUUCGGGUUGUAAACUCCUUUUACGGGGGAAGAGGAAGGACGGUACCCCGAGAAUAAGUCACGGCUAACUACGUGCCAGCAGCCGCGGUAACAC